GAUGAAGAACGCAGCGAAAUGCGAUACGUAAUGUGAAUUGCAGAAUUCAGUGAAUCAUCGAGUCUUUGAACGCACAUUGCGCCCCCUGGUAUUCCGGGGGGCAUGCCUGUCCGAGCGUCAUUGCUGCCCUCAAGCCCGGCUUGUGUGUUGGGUCUCGUCCCCCUUCCCGGGGGGACGGGCCCGAAAGGCAGCGGCGGCACCGCGUCCGGUCCUCGAGCGUAUGGGGCUUUGUCACCCGCUCUGUAGGCCCGGCCGGCGCUUGCCGAUCAACCAAAACUUUUUUCCAGGUUGACCUUGGAUCAGGUAGGGAUACCCGCUGAAAUUAAGCAUAUCAAUAAGCGGAGGA
rnacentral:misc_RNA from 1 species